GAUGAACGCUGGCGGUGUGCCUAAUACAUGCAAGUCGAGCGAACAGACGAGGAGCUUACUCCUCUGACGUUAGCGGCGGACGGGUGAGUAACACGUGGAUAACCUACCUAUAAGACUGGGAUAACUUCGGGAAACCGGAGCUAAUACCGGAUAACAUGUUGAACCGCAUGGUUCAACAGUGAAAGACGGUCUUGCUGUCACUUAUAGAUGGAUCCGCGUCGCAUUAGCUAGUUGGUAAGGUAACGGCUUACCAAGGCAACGAUGCGUAGCCGACCUGAGAGGGUGAUCGGCCACACUGGAACUGAGACACGGUCCAGACUCCUACGGGAGGCAGCAGUAGGGAAUCUUCCGCAAUGGGCGAAAGCCUGACGGAGCAACGCCGCGUGAGUGAAGAAGGCCUUCGGAUCGUAAAACUCUGUUAUUAGGGAAGAACAAAUGUGUAAGUAACUAUGCACGUCUUGACGGUACCUAAUCAGAAAGCCACGGCUAACUACGUG
rnacentral:rRNA from 1 species